UGGCGAUAAAUCAUUCAAGUUUCUGACCUAUCAGCUUUCGACGGUAAGGUAUUGGCUUACCGUGGCAGUGACGGUUAACGGGGGAUUAGGGUUCAAUUCCGGAGAGGGAGCCUGAGAAACGGCUACCACAUCUAAGGAAGGCAGCAGGCGCGCAAAUUACCCAAUUCUAACAGCAUAAGAGAGGUAGUGACAAGAAAUAACAGUACAAGGCAGUUAAAAUGCUUUGUAAUUGGAAUGAUAGAAAUUUAAAUACUUUUUAAAGUAUCAAUUGGAGGGCAAGUCUGGUGCCAGCAGCCGCGGUAAUUCCAGCUCACAAGAUAGCGUAUAUUAAAAUUGUUGCAGUUAAA
rnacentral:rRNA from 1 species